rfam:Triticum urartu cultivar G1812 contig1025399, whole genome shotgun sequence.
AUCAUACUCCCUCCGUCCGAAAAAACUUGUCCCUUAAAUGGAUGUAUCUAUCACUAACUUGGUGCUAGAUACAUCCAUUUGAAAGACAAACUUUUUUCAGACGGAGGGAGUAGCAU